rnacentral:rRNA from 1 species
CAGCCGCCGCGGUAAUACGAAGGGGGCUAGCGUUGCUCGGAAUUACUGGGCGUAAAGGGAGCGUAGGCGGACAUUUAAGUCGGGGGUGAAAUCCCAGAGCUCAACUCUGGAACUGCCUUUGAUACUGGGUGUCUUGAGUGUGAUAGAGGUAUGUGGAACUCCGAGUGUAGAGGUGAAAUUCGUAGAUAUUCGGAAGAACACCAGUGGCGAAGGCGACAUACUGGAUCAUUACUGACGCUGAGGCUCGAAAGCGUGGGGAGCAAACAGGAUUAGAUACCCCGGUAGUCCCUGUCUCUUAUAC